CUAGAUGAUACACGAACGUGCCCCGCCUUCGUUAGUCGUGCGAAUGGCUAUCUGAUAACUGCGGCAGGUUCUCUUCUAGAUUAUUCCCAGUUUGAAAGGCCGUCGUUGGUUUUCCACGCACAGGUCCCACGGCAGUUCAGCUCGACGAUGAGUAUACACAGUGAUGUAGUGUUGCCUUUGUUAACGGCAUCGUGGCCCAGCUAUUUAAUCUCGUAUUAGGCGUGCCUUCACUCGUCGAAAUCGACCAUCAUUUGGAACCUUCUUCUCGUCAGACAGUCCGCAGUCAGUCAUCGACCGGGAAAUCAUGGCCCGCUUCACACAGCGAAUUAGUAAUAUGAGGUCAAAAAUUUAUAGUAAGAUAGAUCUUUUAUUUCCACUGUUUGAAGGUAAUGACCCAGACACAAUAAUAACUAUGGGAAUCCUUUGUUUCAAGCUAGACUGCCUGUCUCUUAUCGAGAGAACUGAGGACAAACUUUGGCAGUUGGGCCAACUACAAUGGCACUUGGUGAACGAUGCAGAUGCCCUACUUAGAGCUGUAGAGCAAACUCCGUUAGUGCUGAGGAUUUCAGAAAGGGUAAAAAAAUUAAAAAUUCUUCUUGAGGUAGAGCUCGUUGCAUUUGCAGACCCGGUGCAGGGUACGUCCCGAACCCUAUAAACAACGCGCCUAUAGAGUACGAUGUUAUAAAUAAACGAUGCCACGAGCCGGAUGUCGUAUGUGGGUGUGCAGUCAACUGGAAACAUUGAUCAGUGCUUACAGACAAUAUUCUAUAGGCUAAUUAGUUAUAGAAAGAUAUUUCAUGAUUUUAACGAUAGUUGACAAUGUUGUAGGUAAGAAAAAGUGUCCUAACGCAGUAUAUUAGACGAUAUCCAGCUGUCGUGUGUUUCUUCUGAUAGACAUUGCGAGAAGCUUUAUGAUUACGAAUCAACAGAAAGAAAUCACCAAACAAAAUAGUUGAAAGCGAACGAAGAUCAUUUCGGUUGUUGGCUGUUUGCUUAACGAAGAUCAAUUCUCUGGUGAGUAACGAUUCUAACAGAGACAUCAUCAGGCAUACAGUAAAAUGCCUCACCACUUCUUGCCCCUCGGGUCUAUCGGUAUAGCCUAAUUUUUAGGCUUCGACCACCUGCAAAUCUAAUACGCCAGAAGUUAAAAUUACGCUCGAUAUCCAUGCGAUUGCUCUUUUUACUAGACGACUGCUGUUUGGUUAACGUUAGCUGGCCAUCCCCUACAGACAUGUAGGGGUGGGAUUACUCGCCACUUUACCGUUUUAGAUAACAAAAAAAAAAAAAAAAUUGCCUUAUAUCCAUAAUUGUACUGGUUGUGUUACAAUUGACAAAUGCAGCGGUGAACGAUGGCACCAAACUGUGAUAUUGUUCAGAAUCUUCAUCUGUAUCAAACACCCGAGUGUAUUGUAAUUUAAAUAAACGUAGACUGACCAUCCGCAAAAUAUUUAGUACCCUUUUAUUUACCAAGUUGCCGAUGAAACAUAGAAUAUGAUGAAUGGAUUAUCUAGAUCCCGAGAGAGAGUGUGAAUAAAGCAUUCUCGUAUGACUAU
rnacentral:lncRNA from 1 species